AUAGGACUGAAAAUCCU
rnacentral:tRNA from 1 species